GGCUCAAUGGUCUAGUGGUAUGAUUCGCGCUUCGGGUUGCGUUCAGUCUUCCCAUGCUUGUACAUAACAAGCACUCAAAGAUGUGCGAGGUCUCGGGUUCGAUCCCCGAUUGAGCCC